CCCUUCUUAGGGUCGCACCUGGAGAGUUUCCAGUACUCUACCAGUCUCGACUACAGGAGGGAGAGUCAAGCAGGGGCAUAUCCAUUACAUUCCUAGCUUGGGCAGUGGCUAGCAAGUAAAAGGCAAUCUGCUACAUGU